UGGGCUUUUCUGCCGAAUUGGCGCGGCCGGGAGCCUGCCUGGUAGGGCUGGAAGCCUGGCUGGAGCGCGCCGAGGCCUCGAUGGCAGGUGCGGGCCUCGGGCCCUGACUCCGGGUCCCGCGGCCCAAGCAGCAGCCAAGGAAGCCUCCUGCUUUAGGAGUCAGGUCGGCCUUGAGCAAAUUGCCUGCAGGAGCUGAAACUUUGUUUCUUUGUUUCUGCCAAACUUCGGUGCCUUCUCAGGAGGAGCUAUAGAGGGAGAAAAAUGACCAAGAGGUUGCUGCCAGGCAAGGUUCAGAGGCUGUUAUCUGGUUCUUGUAUCCUCAUGGAGAAGAAAGAUUUCAACAAGACGUACAAAGAGCCUCAGCAAGCAAGAUUUUAUUAGAAUAGGAACUUCCUUGUACAGGCAGAGGAGAUGGAACCAGGCCAAAGUGGAAUGAUUCUCGGCUACAUCCAAAGGAACAGAAGAAAAAGGUUACAUAGGAUAAAUGCAGAAGCCGAGCACAGAGCAGGAAAGAUGCCAAGCUUUGUGACCAACUUGGGGUCAUGGAAAUGUGCCUUUGACAUGCUAAAGAAGGAGCAAGUUCUUAGCAAAUCCACUGUUAAAAGGCUGUGAAUGUUGUACCUGGAGACCUGGCCCAUAAUUUGUAGAGUAUUAGAAACACGGAAACCACCACACCCUCUCUCUUUUGAUGACUAGUACAUCUCUUAGUCUCAAGUUCCAAGUUCUGUCUACCUGAUUUUGUUUUAUGAUUUCAAGUGUUUUCUUGUAAGGUUGUGCUGGCUGGUCUUAUGUCAUCUUGACACAUAAACUAGAAUUAUCUGAAAAGAGAAAACCUCACCUGAAAAAAAAUGCCAGAAUAAGAUUUUGUCAAUUGUUAGGCAUUGUCUUAAUUAGUUAUUAAUGAGGGAGAAUCGGCCUAUUGUGGGUGGUUCAUCUGGGCUGGAGGUCAUGGAUUCUAUAAGAAAGAAGGCUGAGCAAGUCAUGGGAAGCAAAUCAGUAGGCAGCACCCUCCAUGGUCACUGCAUCAAUUCUUGUGUCCAAGAUGCUCCACUGUUUGAGUUCCUGUCCUGACUUCCAUCAAUGAUGAACAGUGCUGUGGAAGUGUGAGCCAAAUAAACCCUUUCCUCCCCAACUUAUCUUUUGGCCAUGG